GUAACGAGCGCAACCCUUGUCCUUAGUUACCAGCACGUUAUGGUGGGCGACUCUAAGGAGACUGCCGGUGGACAAACCGGAGGAAGGUGGGGAGUGACGUCAAGUCAUCAUGGCCCUUACGGCCUGGGCUACACACGUGCUACAAUGGUCGGUACAAAGGGUUGCCAAGCCGCGAGGUGGAGCUAAUCCCAUAAAACCGAUCGUAGUCCGGAUCGCAGUCUGCAACUCGACUGCGUGAAGUCGGAAUCGCUAGUAAUCGUGAAUCAGAAUGUCACGGUGAAUACGUUCCCGGGCCUU
rnacentral:rRNA from 1 species